rnacentral:rRNA from 1 species
UGGGGAAUUUUGGACAAUGGGGGAAACCCUGAUCCAGCCAUCCCGCGUGUGCGAUGAAGGCCUUCGGGUUGUAAAGCACUUUUGGCAGGAAAGAAACGUCAUGGGUUAAUACCCCGUGAAACUGACGGUACCUGCAGAAUAAGCACCGGCUAACUACGUGCCAGCAGCCGCGGUAAUACGUAGGGUGCAAGCGUUAAUCGGAAUUACUGGGCGUAAAGCGUGCGCAGGCGGUUCGGAAAGAAAGAUGUGAAAUCCCAGAGCUCAACUUUGGAACUCCAUUUUUAACUCCCUGGCUAGCGUGUGUCAGAGGGCGGUUGACUUCCGCGUGUAGCAGUUCCCUGCGUAGCUAUUCGGAGGAACACCGCUGGCGAAGGCAGCCUCCUGGGAUAACACUGACGCUCAUGCACGAAAGCGUGGCGAGCAAACAGG